UACGUAGGGUCCGAGCGUUGUCCGGAAUUAUUGGGCGUAAAGAGCUCGUAGGCGGUUUGUCGCGUCGGCUGUGAAAGCCCCGGAGCUCAACUCCGGGUCUGCAGUCGAUACGGGCAGACUUGAGUGUUGCAGGGGAGACUGGAAUUCCUGGUGUAGCGGUGAAAUGCGCAGAUAUCAGGAGGAACACCGGUGGCGAAGGCGGGACUCUGGGCCGAUACUGACGCUGAGGAGCGAAAGCGUGGGGAGCAAACAGG
rnacentral:rRNA from 1 species